AUCCAGGCAAUAAGCCUAUUGAUUGGUGCCACAAAUAUCCAGGGUGGGGCUCCCAUUAUCCACACCCAGAACUAUGCUAAUUCCAAUCAGUGGACUAAUUUAGUACCACACACUCUUAAUCCUAGUAUUACAACCCCAGAUCCAGCUAGCUCCAAAAAGCCCCACUUAGGAGUGCAUGAGGCUUUGAGGGGGACAUCUAGAUACACACUGUAAUACACCAGGUACCCAGGGUAGUCGAAUUCACAUAGAUGAGAAGCAGAAUGGUGGUUGCCAAGGCUGGGGGUGGGGAGAAUGGAAAUUCAUUGAUUAAUCAUACACUAUUUCAGUGUGAGCUGAUGGAAAAGUCCCAGAGAUAGAUGGUGGCUGCACAAUGAUAAGGAUAUACCUAAUACCAGUAGAACUGCAUACUUAAAAAGUUAAGAGACUACAUGUUAUGUUGUGUGUGUUUUGUUUCCUUUUUUUUUGGUACAGGGGAUCGAACUUGGGACCUUGUGCUUUUGCAGCAGGCACCGGAAGCACUGAGCUAAAUCCCUGGCCCAGUUGUGUGUGUUUUGCUACCAUCUCUUUGUAUUUUAAAAAGAGAAGGAAAGAAAACCCAGCAUCAGUGACAGAGCUUGCCACUCCCACCUGCCCAAGGGAGCAGCUGCUCCACUGCCCUUCCGGCCAGCACAAGGCACAGCCAACAUCACAGGAAAUAACAAGUCCUUCUGCUUCAGCCCUGCCAGCUGUGCUGCUCCCUGUGGGAAGGCCACACUGUGUCCAUCAGCUCCUGGCUGUGAUGUCUGGCCACCUUCUCUCCCUGCCAGAGCUGCCUGACCCGAGGUCCUUAUGAAGUGGUGACUGCUCCAGCCAGCAGGUGGUGACCCAGGCCACAUUGCUGGGAUUCCCAUCACUUCCUGCCACCUCCUGUCCCUGCUCCCCCAGCAAACCCAGGCUGUGGGCUGUGCAUGUGGGUCCCAAGAGGAAACCCCGCCCAUGUGGUGGCCUGAGCAGAAGCUGUCACUCCAGGGAACAGACAGUGGCUGUGACGCCCUCCUGCUGCCUCGGCUCCCCACAGGAGUGGAAGAUGGUACUCGGCCAGCCGGAGCCUGAGGAGAAGCCUACAGCUGCUGCCUCACGAUGGGGGAGCCCACACCCGAGCCCGCCUACGUCGAUGUGGAUAAGGGCCUGACGCUGGCUUGCUUCGUCUUCCUCUGCCUCUUUCUGGUGGUGAUGAUCAUCCGCUGUGCCAAGGUCAUCAUGGACCCCUACAGCGCCAUCCCCACAUCCACCUGGGAGGAGCAGCACCUGGACGACUGAGGCCUCGAGGUGGUGGGGACCAAGGCCCUGGUGUCUCCUGGACCUGGUCCCCAGUUCACGGCCCACUGAGGCCAGGGAUGGUGUGGGUUCACCUCAGCCCUGCUGGCCACCACACUUAGGAAAUUCCCCGGGGCUGGGGAUGUGGCCACCUGGGAAUCAGGGCACUGAUCCCAGACUCAGCAGGCUGAGCCGAAGCCCAGGCCUGCACCACUGUGACACUGGUGUGUGGUCCCCUUCCCCAGCUCCUGUGUGCCUUUGGGAACUGAGCCCAGGACAGGCACCCCUUACCAGAAGAGGUCUGGAUUCCAGGGACUCUGUCCUUAACAUGCAACAUAGCACAUGGAGGUCCCUGGCAGAGACACCCCCUGAAGCCAUACCACACCCCCAGGGACAGAGUGGAACAGUGAGGGGGAGAGCCACAGGGCACCUCCCCAAAAACUAACAGAGGCACACAGGCUACUUCAAAGCAGUAUUUUUUAAAACCAAGACAUAGAGGGAAUAUAUUUUUCCUAUCAUAAGUGCAACGUGUAUUUUAGAAGCUUGGGGAAAUGCAGAUAAAAAUGAGGAAAAGAGCACCAACAACCCCACCUCCAGAACUCACCAUUUGAUAUAUCUCUUCCAGCCUUUGAUACAUGUAUUUUUUAGCGUAAUCACAUAGUGUUCGUGACGUGACGCCGUACCGCUGCAAACCAGCAGACUCUUUAGGAUUGGGCCCCUGGGGGCUUCCUGACUGUACUUCACUUUUCACUGACUUCUCACACACAAAACCACUUCACCCUGAAACCCUGGGAGGUGCACAGUCUGGAUGAGACCUGGGCUCCAUCCUGCCCUGGCCACUCGGAGGAGGAGUGUGACCUUGAAUGAGUCACCUUGUUCUUGGUGCCUCUGUCUCCUCACUGUACGGUGGGGAGGGAAAGCCUUGCUAGUGUUUUUGUUUGGGGUGGGUUUUGGGGUUUUUUUGGCAUUUUCCUCACAUGACUGAAAAUCCAGGAGAGGGAGUGCUCUAAAUGUAGAUGUGGGGCAAGAAACAAGUCCUCCUCCUCCUCCUCUUCCUCCCUUGCCCACCCCAUCCAUCACCCACACCUGUGACCCCGCAGCAGGAGUUCUGGACCAGCACCCAGAAACCUGCUCCCGUGCCCCAAUUCCUCUGUCUUCUUGUGUGACCUCCAGAUAGCUCAGCUUUCUAUGAACUGGGGGAGGAACAUCUACCUCACACAGUUGCUGUGAAUGAAAUGAGAACAGUGGCAAAUGCAAGGGUCCUUUCUGGGCUCCACAUCCUCAGGAGAAGCUGGGUCCCCAGAGUCCCCUCUCCCUGUGAAGCCUGGAUCCCAUCCAGGACCCUUGGUCAGAAGAUACAGCAACCCUCGGGCACCUGACCUCGAGGGACACGGUGUCCCCCGGCUUAUGUCGUUGCCAUUGUUUUCACAGGCGAUGUGUAGGCCAGAUCAGCAGAGUCCCUCCCUCUGCCUCUUCCCAAGGCAUGGCCUGCAUUCCGUCAGGAGCAGAGGGAAACCUCAGCCUUCCCUCCCAUCACCUGGCCAUGGUACCCAGCCCACCCAGGCCACCUGGGAAAUGGAUUUCCAAAGCACUGUCACUGCUGGGUGACCUCUGAGAACAGACAAGGCCACUGCUGUGCAGGCAGCAUCCAGGUUACCAGGUGUCCCCUCCCUACUGUGUCGGACACACAGAGAGGUGGCAGCAGAGGCAGUGGCCACAAUACGUGGGAGGGGGCAGAGUCUUAAGCAAAGUCAACUGCCCUCGGAACCUACCUCAGAGACGCCAGGCACUUCCGAAAGAAGCCACUGGCACAGGCCACACCCAGAUCACAGCUGACUCCUAGUCAGCUCACGCUGGGUCUGGGAGCAGGACAGGUCUGGUGGAGCUCCCUGGAGCUCUCUAAAGCCCUGGGAGUGACAGCAGGAUGCCCCAGGGCUGUGCCACUCAGACUGUGGCUGGAGGACCACCCUCUGCAACCCUGGGGAGCUUGCGGAACCCAGAAUCCUGCCUACCCCCCAUCUCAAGCACACUCACAUUGGGCUCCCUUGGACCCAAUUAAUUUUUUUCACACCUAGAUUCGCUAAUAUUUCCCAUCUUAUCUCUUGUCACUUUCUUUGGUGGCAAGAGGGAACAGUAACAGUCCAGAAAGGCUAGAAAAUAUAAAAAUCACUCCCAACCCUCCCCCACAACAAAACAAUUUAUUUUGUGCACAUAUUCCCGUCUACUCCUGGUUCACGUCCAAGCUGAAUUUUUCACACAUUCCAUCAGUUGUACAACUUCACAUCAGACUCUCCCAAUGCUACAGCACAUGCGUGUUUCCACAUUGCUGCUGCAGGCUUCAUACUUACUGUUUCCCUGAAAAUAAGACCUGGCCAGAAAAUAAUCAGCCUUGAAAAUGAGAUCAGAAAUGCCAACCCCAAUGAGCCCAUCCCGGCCUUCCCUGCCUUACAGAGCAGCCAAUGAGCAAGAAAAUAGUGAGGGCAGGGAAGGCUAGGAUAAGCUGAUUGGGGCUGGCUUUUCUGAACUCUAGUUUUCAAGGCUGACUUGCAUUUUCUGUUUGGGACUUACUUUGGAGGAAAGAGGGUAGCACUCUUGUGGGACCCAAAAGGUGGUACCUAAUGUGCACACAGCUCUGCACAGCCCUUUUAUUAUACCCUUGGGUUGCUUCCAUUUUCCCACUUACACACCUAAAGACAGCUGGAGCCCGAGGGCUUAUGCAGGAUGGGGGAGAGCUCACCCUUCCUCCUCAGAGACACCUGGAGACAUGCACCUAUCCAAGGUUGACCGUGCAGAGAGAGAAAAACAAGUGAAAUCUCAUGCCUUUGUUGUGAUGUCUGCUGCUAAGGGAGGGAUGUGGUAGUCUUGGGGAUCCAAGUGGCUUGAGCAGUUUCUUCAGCUGUCCCCAAACCCCAGAGAGUAACUCGAUCCCAAAGGGGUUGGUCCUGCUUUCAGACACUCAGUGGAGAGGAGUGCAAAGCCCACUAUGUCCACAAGGGUGACCCGCACCCCUCAGUCUCACUGUUGAAGACUCGUCCUAGCCUGUGAUAACAGCCAUCUGCAAUGCCCUUGGCCCUGUCACUGAGAGGUGCCACACUGAGUCCCUGGAGCACAUUCACAUGCCAGCCACUGUCCAGUUGUAGCACAAAGACAGGGCACCUGUGUCCAGAGGGGCCACCUCACCCGACCAGCCUUCUGCCCUGCACCCUGGUGUCCCUGACCGUCACCCCCUGAGACCCCUCCUGGCAGGGCGCUCCUUGCUCCAUGUCCUCUCAGGAAAGCAGGGUUGGACAGCAUUUAGUGGAAGGAUGUCAUAGAGGUCAACCAAGGUUAAGGGAAGCGGCAGUGUGGGGAGGUGACCUGCCAGAGGACAGUCAUAGUGUGAAGCUGUAACCAAUUGGGACUUGGGUUAGGGUUAGGGUUAGAGUUAAUGCUGCAGCACUGGUGGGGGAGUCACAGGCGGAGAUCAAAACUCCUUCCCCACUGCAACCCACUGGGAGUGGAGUUGGGGAGGCCUCCUCCUGUCCGCCAACCCCUACCUGGGCUGUUCCGUAACCAAACCAGCAGAAGCUAAUGGUGAAUCAACCCCUCACCAUUUGUGAAUCGUGCUCAGAUCAGGGGAGAAAGAUGGCCCCAAAGAGAGAGCACCAAGAAGUUCCAUCAGCCACCAUACAGUCCAGGGUGAUGUCACGUUUGUUCCACACCCUAGAACUCAAAUCGCAGUGCAGCCACACUGAGGUGAGCAGGGAGACAGUGAACAUUAAACUGGCCUCCAAGCUGGCCCAUGUCUGACCACUGAGCCGUGGGGCAUCUCACCUGGCAGCAUGACCCCAAUCUUCCCUCACAGAGGGUCUGAGUUCAUGGUGCUCUGUAUCAAGUGGUCACAGUCUCCCCAUUCCCAAAGAACAUGCAGCAGUCUUGAAGGCCGCUCUGGAAGCACUUUAGAACUCUUGAGGGUAACAGGUGUCUGGGGCAGCAUGACCUAAACUGUGUGGCAUGUACAGACAGCUCAGCAUCUCAAGGAGCCAGAGGAAUCUACAUUCUGCUCCUACCCUGGACUUAGAGAAUGGGAACAUGGGUCAUUGGGGUACCAGGGCCCCAAGAAACCCCUGGGCUCUAGGCACCAUGCUUGUCCCCAUGGUGUAGCAACAGCCUUGUUAUCCCCUGGGUAUUGUGACAAAUCCCCUGACACUACACUGACCCCUUGUCUUCCUGGAGGCUCAACAUAAGGACCCCAAGUGCCCAGGACCAUCUUGGCUUCUAAUUAAACAGACCUGCAACUACCUUCCUUUGUGGAAGCACUUCUUCUUGGCCCCUAAGGAUUUCCAAGCCCACUGAUCCUAUAGUUUUAAGGAUGGAAAACAAGAUCCCCUGAAUGGAUUGCUGAGUAUAACAGUAAAAGGGGUCACUUUCACCCCCAGCCUGUGGUCCCCAGGACAGGGGACCUGGUCGGGGAUAGGAAGCACAUGUGUGGCCUCUGGCUGCAUACAAACACUGCUCUCUCCAGGAUGUGGAGGAAAAGGAAUCCCUUAACACUGUUGGCAGGAAUGGAAAUGAGUGCAGCCACUGUAAAAAACAAUAUGGAGGUCCCUCGGAAAAACUAAAAAGGUAGAACAGAAUCCCUAUGUCCAAAAGAAGUGGAAUCAGUGUUCCAAAGAGACGUGUGCACUCCCAUUUUCCUGCUGCGCUAGUCACAAGGGCCAAAAAACGGAAUUAAACUAAGCAUCUACCAGCUGAUGGGCAGAUGAAGAAAGGGUGCUGCACACAUACAGGGGAGCAGGUUCCAGCCACAGGAAAGGAUGUAAUUUUUUGGGACAGCAUGGAUGGAUCUGGAGGUGGUUAUGCUAAGCAAAAUCAGCC